rnacentral:rRNA from 1 species
GACAGCCACACACCACCCUGAACACACCUGAUCCCGUCUGAUCUCUGAAGCUAAGCAGGGUUGGGCCUGGUUAGUGCUUGGAUGGGAAAGAUGAGCCCUGGAGGGAGGCAGGUC